rnacentral:rRNA from 1 species
CUGCAUGAAGACGGAAUUGCUAGUAAUCGCGGAUCAGCAUGCCGCGGUGAAUACGUUCCCGGGCCUUGUACACACCGCCCGUCACACCAUGAGAGUCGGUAACACCCGAAGCCUGUGAGCUAACCGUAAGGAGGCAGCAGUCGAAGGUGGGAUCGAUAAUUGGGGUGAAGUCGUAACAAGGUAUC